rnacentral:rRNA from 1 species
AACGAACGCUGGCGGCAGGCCUAACACAUGCAAGUCGAGCGAGGACUUCGGUUCUAGCGGCGGACGGGUGAGUAACGCGUGGGAAUGUGCCCUUCUCUACGGAAUAGCCCUGGGAAACUGGGAGUAAUACCGUAUACGCCCUCUUGGGGAAAGAUUUAUCGGAGAAGGAUCAGCCCGCGUUGGAUUAGGUAGUUGGUGGGGUAAUGGCCUACCAAGCCGACGAUCCAUAGCUGGUUUGAGAGGAUGAUCAGCCACACUGGGACUGCGACACGGCCCAGACUCCUACGGGAGGCAGCAGUGGGGAAUCUUAGACAAUGGGGGCAACCCUGAUCGAGCCAUGCCGCGUGAGUGAUGAAGGCCUUAGGGUUGUAAAGCUCUUUCAGCUGGGAAGAUAAUGACGGUACCAGCAGAAGAAGCCCCGGCUAACUCCGUG